UUAGUGCCCAGUUGUAUUUUAUUAUAAUGACAAUACAAUAACAGCAGAGUCACUUCAUCACAUUUUGUAUUAUUUUAAGACUUGGUAUAUGCAGAAAGCUUAGCAGCCCGCAUCUUCAGAAGUCUUCAGGGCUCUGCCGUGUGCUCACAUGGACACACGUGGAGAACAGAUGCAACGUGGAGGCAUAGCAGACUCCCCUUGGUAGGAAUGCAUGGGAAGAGCAGGGUCAGGGAGGACCCCAACAUCCCUGGAAGUGUGUGUUUUGAUGCCUGGUCACUGCAGCCCAAACACUGGAGGCCCCUCAGGGGCCCCCACUUGAGCUGCGGCACGGCCUGCAGUCACUCACGGUAGAACCUGGGCCCCCACGUACCACAGAGAGCCAUUGGGGGCUAUCCAGGAGAUCCAGGGUCAUCCCAGGGUCCUUCCAGCAGGGCAGCAGGAGGCUCAGGCAGGGAGGAGAUGUGAGGAUGGAUGUAAGGGUCUGGGUGGUGCGGCCAUGAGCCCAGGAAUGCAGGCAGCACCUGGGGCUGGACAGGGCGAGGAAAGGAUUCUUCCUGGAGCCUCCAGAAGGGACUAGCCCUGCUCACACCUUGGUGUUAGAACUUCUGGCCUCCAGAGCUAUAGACCAUGAAUGUGUGUGGUUAGCCAGUGUUUGCAGUGAUCUGUCAACUGCAAUAGGAAACUGACACAGCCCUGGACACCGAAACCCCAAAGCCCCCCUUCCCCAGAAUGACAGCCUAUCCCGCCCCCUUGGAGAGAAACUCCAGCAUCCAUCACACCCACAUUUCAAUGCAACAACCAAAAUGAGCAGGGGACAAGGCAGUCUGCUGGGGUUUAAUGUGUCCCCCAAAGGUCGUGUGUGGGAAACCUCACCCCCAAUGCCGCCGUGCUGGGACAUGGGGCCUAAGAAGAGGUGACCAGGUCUGAGGACCCUGCCCUCAUGACUGGACGAGCGCUGUUUCAGUUGUGAGAGCGCGCUUGGCCCCCUCUCGGUCUCUCCGCUCUCUCACCGGGUGAGGCCGUCUCUUGGAAAGACGCAGCUCAGGGGCCCUCACCAGAUGCAGCCCCUCAAUCUUGGGCUUCCAAGCCUCCAGGACCAUGAGCCAACUAAACUUCCAUUGUGUGUAAAUUACCCAAUCUGUGAUACUCUGUUAUAGCAGCAGAAAACAGACAAAGACACAGCCCCUGAGGGCAGGCGUCCGGGACAGAAGGCCUCUGCCCUGAAGUUACCGAGGGACCUCGGUGACACAGGCACCUCUGCCGCAGCCCGACGCGUGAGAACAGAGAGAGGGCUCUCCCCACACCUGCAGGAGGUGCUGCUGCCGUCACAGACAGCACAGGCCACAGCGUGUCCACUGUGCAUCUCCCAUGAUGGAGACAGGCACGACCAUUCAGAAAGCCUCGUGAGCCUGUGUGCACUCCAAAUAGUCUAAAUUCGGUUUCCAGCACCGGUGCGUUGCUGCUGUGGACACACCAUGCCAGGCCACUGUGCAGCUUGGUUGUCGUGGGUGUGUACUGCACGUGGGUUGCUACCAAUAAUUCACUUUUGGGUUUUGACAUCCCUCUUGCCAACAGAUAUUCCCCCUCUGUCUAUGCUAGAGGAAUGAGAUAUUCCCUCUAAUAGGGAGAAAAUCUAACCUAGAAGUCAAACGCAUGGAAACAUGGAGAAUACCUUUGAACAGCUCAGACCUAGACAGCCAUGGACAGUAUCCUCCUGUCCUAUUGUUCUGUAUGCUGCCAGGAGUUCUCCCCCCAGGAUGACCCUCCUCCCUCACUGCAGGAACAAAGCACACUGUGUUCUCGAGAAGGAACAGCUUCCCAGAGAGAGGAAACCCCUAAACACCGAGGCCGUGCCAGAGAGUAAGGAGAACGCGCUUGUUCUGAAACAAAGGACCCACUGAUGUCACACCAUGUCCGAGAAACUCUCGAUGAGAGCCCCAGAUGGCAGGAUGUAUAAUAUAAAUAUAACUGACACGCCAACUGCUGGGGCCAGAGUGGAGAGACCCGGAGGACGGGGGGUGGUGAGGGAGAACGAUAUGAGGGUGAUCCCAGCACAAUUCAUUAAAUUCUUUCUAAAAGAAAAACUAGAGGAAAAAAGCAUAUGGUAUGUCUUGAACAAGCAGAAUUGGUAAAAACAAGACUUUAAAAAUUAAACUGGAACUUUUCAGAUAAAAACCUCUAGGUUAACAUUUAUCCGCAAUACCACUACCAGGCAUUUGGGAUGCGACGCUCAUUCUGUGCGUACGGAAGUUUCUGGAAGAGGCAUAGCGGCCACAGGAGACCUCUGCUUUUCCUGCAGGACCCCGGUGCUCUCCGGGGGGAGGUGCAGCCAUCCUCCCGCCCAGGAUUUGCUUCCACGGCAGCUUCUGUGUUCACGGCUCUCCCACGAGCCAUCCAGACCCUGUGCGGGAGGGUCUCAAAGAAGUCACCUUGAGCCUCCAGGUGCUCUUAGCCCCAAGGCAGAACCUGGAAUCCCACCAGGAGGUGCCUGGCACACGUAUCCCACACACGAGCAGGGCUGGGGGCAUUCCAGGCCUGAGGAGCUGCAUGAGGAGAGGCCCCAGGGGUAAUGAAGGCACGGGAAGUAACAAACCCUAGGAGACAGCAAAUGGUCCAUGCGGUCAGCCUGGGCGUGUGCCAGGCAGGUGGCCAGGAAGGAAUGAUGCAUUUCAGGGAAAUGAGGAAGGUGAGUCAGGAUGCAGCCUGGUCUUUGGUGGGUCAGGGGUCAGCCUGCUGAGGCCCCAGCCCCCGCCACCCAGUCCCACCCUCGUCGGGGGCUGUGCGGGUGUCGUGUGGAUGUGGCUGAUUAACACCUGCGGUCAGCUGGCUCCGAAUGGAGCAUGUGCCCCUCCACAGUGGGCUGGGCCUCAUUCAAUCCCUGCAUGGCCUUAAGAGAAUAGGACAGGGUCCCCCGGAGAAGCGGACACCUGCCUGCAGACUGUCACAUGGAAAUCCUGCGUGGGUCUCCAGCCUGUGUCUGCACUACUGAGGUCAGACAUGCCAGCCGCACAAUUACAUAAGCCAGCCCAUGACACGGGGCACAGACGAACCACGCACGUCCACGCAUCUCCUAAGGUUCUGCUUCUCUGAGAAUGCAGCAGGCCUGGUCUCGAGAGCCCAGGAAGAGCUGAAAGUCUUUAUUUGUUGGCACAAGAGGCAUCAGGGAAAGAGAAACACCUCAACAAACUGGCAUCUGAGGAAGACUGACGGCGACAGCUGGGGAACGUCCCAGGUAAGGGAGUCAGAAGAGUUGGAUGCUGAAUGAAGAAAUUUUAGGAAAAUCUAACCAAGUUAUUUUGCUUAGCUUCCCUUUGUGUAUAUACAACACUGAUAGCAAAAAUCUGAAUAAGGCAAAUAGAGCUCUUUAAGUAUAAAAUAAAAACUAAGUGAUAAAAUUAAAUUCACUUUCUUUGAGUUGCUCAAAGCAUUAUUCUAAAUGAAAUGUAUGUUAAUUCACUUCACAAAAGUCAUCCACCAAAGCAGAAUUCCCACAUUAGGAUACACAAGGUGGAAGAAGAGACUACAAGGGUCAUAGGUUAGAGGUAACUUAAGUUAUAAAAACCCAUGAAAAUGAGAUAUUGUAAUAAAAACACACACACAGAAAAGUAUGUAAUACAUGAACCAUAUUCUACUUCAUGAACAAAAAAAUCAAUAAAACAAAAACCUGACUGGAAUAAGACCUUGAAACAGCACGACUGGCCACGUCUAUCUGGCGUCUAUCUGGCGUCUAUCUGGCGAGGAGGCGCGGCAUGGAGUCCAGGGUGGAAGCCCAGCUCACGUGGCUCAGGACCCCGGGGCCUCGGCCUCUCAUCUGCAAACCAAGAUUAAACUAGGGCAGUAAGAUCCUAAAUCUCUAUCGUUCUAUGAAGAAAGUGGGCCAAAAAGUCCAAAGCCUCUACAGUUUGGAGACAUCACAGCUGACUGCUGCUGACUGAUGAGCACACAUGUGAACUCCAUUUCUGAAAAUACUGCGUCCUCUAAAAGGAAACCAGGGGCCCCAGAAAAUGCCAAGCAUUGACCGCCUGUGCUGCGAUGGCAUUUGUAAGAGCAGCCCCUGCUGAGCUGAGCGUACUGUCUGUGAGCAGCAGGGGCCGGUAGGGGAGGAUUCUCCCAUUUGUGCAGUUCAGUUAGAGCUCUCCAGGGUCACGUCAACAGAUAAUGCACCAUUAUCCUUUGCUCUCGGGGGCGGCCUGUAAAUAAGGCUCUGCACACAAAAUCACAAAGGCAUCACAAGAACGACACGCAGUAGCCACUGUUCCUCAGCAGCCAUGAGGUGGGCAGAAACACACACAUGCUUCUAAAACAUGCACCAAUGGGCAGAAUGUGACCAGAUCUGGGUAUUGAAUGCCUUCCUGGCUGUAAGUAAGGCUUGGUUUACUCGGAGCUGAUGAAAUCCAGAGAUGUCAUACGAAAUGCAUGUAGAGUUUGAUAGGAAAACCUCAUCGUGUGUCCCGGUCAGGAGAGUUUAAGGAGUGUGAGAGUGUAGACACAGCAGGCCUGGAUUCCCAGCAGACCUGGCCUCAAAGUGGACAACCUCGAGGCUGGACCUGGAUGCGCCUAGCAGGGCGUCACCUAUGUGGCCAACCUCGCUGCAGCAGCAGCAGCUGCUCCACACAGGUCUGCAUCCGGCCACUGUCCCAGCAGCCUGAAAGCCGCAGCCACUGGCAGGGAGCUGUGCACUGUCCUCCAGCAUCCUCUGAAAACUCUGCCUCCUCAUCAUCCGUGGGCCAGACGCUUCCAGCAUUGCUCGAUUUUAACAAUGAAUUUUAUAAAUUUAUAAAUGCAUAAAUAUAUCAGGGGUCCUGUUAUACUAGCAGUGGAUCUCUUUAAACAGUGAGGUUUCAGAAUGUCAUUAACACUUAAUUCUCAGAACAGUAUUUUCAUGAGCCUUUUUCAGGCCAUAUUUCUUGAUGUUUUGGCUCUAAAAAGAUGAUCUGGGUAUAGAACAAAUGCAGGUCUUAAGUAUGAUAUUUUUUAAAAGGUGAAACAUUUUCUUUUUUUAACCUGGAUCUCUGGCAAAAAGAAGCUGCUGCAUUGAAAUUUAGCUGCUCCCUUGACUCCAGGACCCUCCUGCCACUCCCGUGCCUGCGCCCAGGCUUUGCGGCACAGACCGGCCUCUGCGGACCAGGGAUGCCCUCCCAGGCCAGCCCUACAAGCACGGCUCUCGAGGAACAGCCCACGCCACGGCCUCCACACAGUUUGCCAUUUUGGCUCUUUGUUAAUCACGCCUCCUGGGAAAAAAGAAAACUAAAUCAAUACUCUGACAUCCAGACUUGAUUUCUACGUUCCAAAUACUGAAAAGAAACCAAAUGAAAAGCCAGAGGGAAGAAUGCCUCUGGCCCCUGGGUAUGGCAUCCAUCCUCCGGGACUAAAUGCAACGUCUAAAUGAUGGCAACCUGAGCUGACGUUUAUUCUCCAGCGUUUCUGGGGAUCUCCUGGAUAUCUGUAUUUUAAAGGCACCCACAUUCAAGAUGUGUGUAGGUGGCCACUCUCCGACAGCAGACAAGCCCUCGGUCUUAGCUUCCACAUUCAAAGCUCACAAAAUGCUGAGCGCAGGGGCUCUUUUGGGGAAUGGAAACAGCCUCCAGCGCAGUCUGCCUUAUGGCAAAGGGGUUCAGAGUUUGGGUCCCAGAGUCACCUGCCUGGGUUCCAAUCCUAGUUAUCAGGGGGUGACCUUGAGGGAGUUACUCAAUCUCUCUGCCUCAGUAGCCCCAUCUGUAAAAUGGGGUCACAAAGUCCCCACCUUGUGGGUUAUUUCGAGGAUUAAAUGCAUAUAAUUGAUUUGAACAGUAACCGGGCAUGUGGUGAGCAAUAAAUAAAUAUCAGCCAAUGUCACAACGUUCAGACAAUCAGAACCUGAACACAAAAAUGGGCCAUGGAAAUAGCCACACCCAAUCAGACCCAUCGGGUGCGGCUCCCAUGUCUCCGUUUGCUGGUAGCUUCCUGAGGGGCUGCUGGGAGCCUCUGGCUACUGCCUAAGGGGACCCAGGACGGAGGGCUGGGCUCCACUCAUCCUGCUCUGAUGCAGGUUUAGGACGUGUGAGGCCUCCUCUGUGUCAGACACUUCAUGCUGGGGACCCAGCACUGAGCAAUGGGACGGGGUCCCCACCUCAUGAAGCCCCUCACUCCUCUCCUGCUGCCUCAGGCAGCUUUCCCUCGGGUCCCUGAGUCCCCAGAGAGGCUACGCCUGGGACCAGGGUCCCGGCCAUGUUGCCCGUCACUCAGCAGAGCUCUGGAGGUCUGAUGCAUGCAAGUAUCCAUGUCACCAACGGCACAGCAUCUACAUUAAACUGUGGCUGCUGGAUUCCACUAUAGCUGGGACCCUGCAGCCACAGCCAUCGUGACCAACUCGCCCUAAACAGCAUGAGUUCCCAUGGCUCCCACAGGCCCCCCAGGUGCUGGACUUGCCCCACAGGUGACAGCAGGAAGGUGUAGCACACAGAGCUCUAAAUAUUCAGGAUUGCUUUUCUCUUUUCACAGCAAAGCAGCGACUAGGAGCACCUGCUAUUUACACAGCAACGUGCCAAGCUCCAUAAAGAGUGCAAAAAGCACCCCAGAGGUCCUGGAGCAGCUGUUCUGCACCAUGGGGCAGGUUAGAGCCACUGGGGCUGAAAACACCCUGAGCCCACCCAUGCCCCCUCGGGAGCCAGUCAGAGCCCAGUGGGAAGAGCCCACUGAGGGCCAUGCCACAGAGGGAGGCUCGCUCCAAGCAAAGCAGUCAUUCCAUGCAAACCCUCCUCUGGUUUCACCCUAUGAACUCCACUAAGGCCAAGGGAUAGUGAAGUUAAAUGAGGAGGGAGUGAAAAUGACCGCAGGUCCUCCACAUCGCAAUGGGAAGCAGGGCAUCAACAGCACGUCAGGAUGCAGCUGGCAGAAGCCGGGGGUGCUGCCUCCUCGAGGUUUCAGGAAAGGGUGGUUGCCUCGGCCACUUUCCAGCCCCAGGAGGUGUCCUGGAGCAGGGAGGAGGGGUGUGGACAGGUGAGAAGGCUCAGCUGAGAAAGCCCAGGACAGUGCUUGGUGGGCAGAGCUGGGCACACUUUCUCUUCCAAUGUGGCUUUGUGUGAGGCCUGGAAACAGGAGUUCCAGGGAGACAGAGCAGGCCCCAGGCUCCAGGCCACCUCCCCUCUCCUCGGGUGACAAGACAAGUGCAUAGCAAGUCCCAGGAUGAGUGCACAUUCCACAAUGGCCUCACCUCACUUCGCAACAUCAGGCACAAGAUCAACAAUAAAAUGACAUUCUGAGGGCAGUGGUGCACAAGCCAAGCCCAGCAUGCCACAGCGUUCUCAGAGCAGACAGUUCCGUUGGCCACACAGAGACCCUUUUCCCAACCUAGACACUCAUAUGCGACCUGGAAACAUGCAGGGGGAGGAGAGGUGAGGCAGCGAGUGCCCACAGCAGGGCCCUGGCAGCCUCCUCGUCUUCCCUGCCUUUGCCGUCUGACCCAGCCCCUACCAGGUGGCUGAACGCUCCUGUCAGGCUGGGGUCUGGCUGGGGUCAGGCUCAGCCCCAGGUCUGCACUUCCCCUGGGCAGGGAGGGCUCUGACGCAGGACCAAGGCAGGCCUGGCCUCAGGUGGCUGGGAACCCAGGUCAGCUGGGGGCAGACAAAACAUAGACUGAGCUGGUCUCCUGCCCAGGCCUCUAGAACCACCGGCCACAGGUGAAGUCUGCAGGCAGGAUCUUUCCCACCCCUGCUUUCUGCCUGACCCUUGUUCCUGUCUCUGCAGAGGUAAAUUACGUGGAACAGAGCAGGCACUGUGGUCUUCGAGCUCCCAACACCCUUGGCAGAUCUGUGGCUCCGUGCAUACCGGUUAGCUUGUUUUUGAGAGGGGAGCGGACACCAUAUCAAUUCAGCACCAGUGACCACCUCUCACCGAGGAGCCCCUCCCCGCAGCUGUGCUGUUGUCUGGGCCAUGUUCCCUGGGAGCUCCUUCAGUGAGAAGGGGGCCAGGCAACCCCACCCACCCUUUGUCCAUGGGGGCUGGAGGAGGAGGACGCCAAGGCUGACACAGUUGUCAGAUGGCCAGAGCUUCCCCACAUUCCUACAGAAAAGCAGACCUGGAAACGUACCUUCCAGUUCACCAAGAGCACACCAAGUAAAUACUGAUUCCAAAACACGGCUCCAAGCAAGGAAGGCCUGUAUUUAUUUAACUCUUGAAGUAAACAGAGGCCAUUCCAUUUCACUCUCUCCAGGAGGAGUGGGGCCCAAGUCCAGGCCACAGGACAGAGGAUCACCCAGAAGCAGCAGCCCUCGGGCCCAUCCCAUUUAGACCUUCUGAGAACCAACUGCCCCCCGUGUAAACAGUCCAUUCCAAAAGUGGGCAUUUAGUGUCGCCUGCUUUGUGGCUGAUCACACGGGGCGCCCCGUGUUCUCUCUGGCCAGUGGCUCUGACAUUUUGAUGGAGAGGAAGCUGGAACAAUGGACACCCUGGGACCAUAAAACGCUAGGUUUUGGGAGCUCCAGCACAGUGAAACCUGAGUGCUGAUGCAACUGAUGCUAUGUUCCUGCUCCACAUGACUCCAGUCCCAAACAGCAAAUGCUGGGGACAUGCCAGUUUCUAGUUAGCUGGUGUUCAUUGCCCUGUUUAGAAAUUUACUAAUAGUAAUGCAUUUACCCUUCAUUUUAUUGCUUAUUUUCAACUUUCAGAUUCUCCCCACCAGAUAUGCCCCAAACAAUCCACAAACUAUUGAAAAGAUAAGGAGAAGGAAGGCAAAGUUAUUCAGAUUCUAAACCCUUGGGGUCCUCAUUUUGCCAAGAGGAUCCGGUGACUGGUCUGUGGGAGACCCAAACAUUUGAAGAAAACGGAGAUUCCUCCUCACCUCUCCUUUAGAAGGAGGUGGUUGGCAGGAAACUGUGAUGCAGCAAGUUCACGAUCACAUUGGGAUCCCCAGAAAACAAACCUGCCACUUGAAGCAUCCCUGGGCCACCCACACCCACCUGGCUGGAGGGAGGGGUGGGGCUGCAAGGUCUCUGAGCCUGAACCAGAGGAGGCUUCAGUCCAGGCUCACAGAGAGCAGGAGGGAGCCCGAAGCACAGUGUAGCCUGCUGCCUUCCACCUCCCUCUGCCCGGCUCUGAAUAUUUAAACACACCCGAUUCAACCUUAGAACUGUUAACUUAUUCAAGCCUUAACUGGGAGGCAGUGUUUCAAAGGCUCAACACCAAGGUCACUGAAAUUGAAUUAACCUACUUUGACAUCUAUUUAAACUUUUAGAUCUGGACCUGCAAAUCUGAAGCAAAUAUUGAUUUUAAGUCAGUCAAGGUCAUAAUUCCCUAAAAGGAAAGCCCUUUUCCCUCUUCCCACUUCACGUGAUUCUACAUAUUGGUAAAGCCCUUGUAAUGCGGUGCGUGUAUGUGGGUUUGUUGACAGAGAGUGAAUAGGUGUGAACUGAUUUUUCUUGCUUUAGAUAACUGUAGGUUCACAUGCAGUUGUGAGAAACAGUAAACAGAGGUCUUGUGUACCGUUUUCCUCCAGGGGUAGCAUCCUGCCAAACUACAGCACACGACUGCAGCCAGCAUACUGACAAUGACGCAGCCAGACCUGGGCUGUCUCUACCCACAGGACCCUCUUGUGGCCCCUCCUGGACACACCCAUGUUCCUCCCAGAUCACCCCUCGUGGACCCCCCACAACCACUGAACUAUUCUCCACAGCUACACUUUUGCCAUUUCAAGAAUGUUAUGUAAAUGGAAUCAUACAGUAACCUUUUGGAAUUGGCUUUUUUCACUCAGCAUAAUUCUCUGGAGAGUUCAUCCAGGUUGUCACAGGUAUCAAUAGUUCAUGGUGCGGACGUACAAUUUAACGUUUCACCCACCAAAAGACAUUGGGGUUCUUUCCAGUUUUUGACUGCGACAAAUAAACGAAUAUAAACAUUCAUAUGCCUGUAUUUAUGUGCACAUAAAUUUUGAUUUCUCUGGGAUAAAUUCCCAGGAGUGCAAUUGCUGGGUCAUAUGAGAGUUGCAUAUUUUGUUUUAAAAGAAACUGCUAAAUUGUUUUCCAAAGUGGCUAUACUAUUUUACAUUCCCACCAGCAACUUAGGAGUAACCCAGUUUAUCCACAUCCCUGCCAGCAUUCGAAGUUGGCACUAUCUUUUAUCUUAGCUCUCCUGAGGGUGUGCAGUGGUACCCAGGUCUUGCACUUCUCCACUGGCUACUAUUGACUGACACCUUUCCGUGUGCUCUUCUGCCCUCACUGUGGCAUCUUUGGUGGAAUGUCUCUAUGUCUGUUGCCCAUUUUCUAAGCGAAUUGUUUGUUUUUGUACUGGUGAGAUUUGAGAUUUCUUAAUCCUUUAUCAGCUAUGUGGUUUGCACAUAUUUUCUUCAGUUUGUAGCUUGUCUUUUCAUCCACUUUGCAGGUGCUUUCACACAGCAUAAGUUUUCAAUGCUGGUAAGGUCGAAUCUAUCAUUUUUUCCUUUUAUGGAUCAUGCUUUUGGCAUCAAGUCUAAGAUCUCUUUGUUCAGCUUUAGGUCCUAAGUGUUGUCUACUAUAUUUUUUCCUAAAACUUUUAUAGUUUUAUAUUUCAUGUUUAAAUUUGUAGUUCAUUGUUAGAACUUAUCAUUCUAAUAUAAGGUGUAAAACUUGGCUCAUGGUUCUUUUGUCUCCCUGUGGACAUCCAAUUACUUCAGCACUAUUUGUUGAAAAGACUAUCUUUCUUCCACUGAAUUGAUUUUACAUCUCUGUCAAAAAUCAGUUGGGCAUAUUUGUGUGGGUCUGUUUCUGAGUUCUCUGUUCUGUUCUAUUAUCUGUCAGUCUGCCCAGGACCACACUGCCCUGAUUACUGUGGCAAUAAUAAGCCCUAGUAUUGGGUAGAAUGAUUCCUCUCAUCUUAUUCUUCUUUUUCAAGACUGAUUUAGGUAUUCUAGCUCCUCUGACUUUCCAUACAAAUUUUAGGAUAAUCUUGACUAUACCUACAAAAAAAAUUCUGUUGGGAUUUUGAUAAGAAUUCUGUUCAUCUGUUUGAGGAAAACUGACAUCUUUACUAUAUUGUGUCUUCCAAUCCUUGAACAUGGUAUGCCUCUCCAUGCAUUUAGAUCUUCCUUGAUUUCUCUCAUCAGCAUCAUGCAGUUUCCAGCACAAAAGUCUUGUACAUAUUUGGGUGAAUUUACACUUAAGUGGUUUUUUUUUGUAAUUUUAAAUGGUAUUGUAUUUUUAAUUUUGGUGUACAUAAUUUUGGUAUUUAUGCUCUACAAAGAAAGACAAUUGACUUUUCUAUGUUUAUCUUGUAUCUUGCAACCUUUUUGAACUUGCUAGCUUUAGGAGUUUUUUUUUUUUUGUAGAAUCCUUGGGAUUUUAUAAUCAGAUGAUCAUGUCAUCUGUAACCAGAGACUGUUUCAAUUAUUUCAUUCCAAUCCAUAUGCCUUUUAUUUUUCUUGAUUUAUUACACUAGCUAGAACUUCCAGUACAAUGUUGAAUAAAAGCGAUGAAGGCAGACAACCUUACCUUGUACCUGAUAUUAUGGAGAAAGUAUAUAGUUUUCACCAUUUAGUGUCAUGUUAGUUGUGGGUAUUUUUUGUAGGUAGUCAUUAAUAAGUAAGACGGUCCCCCCCUCUACUCCUAUCUGUCCUAGAGUUUUGUUGUUUUUUUUUUUAAUCAUGAAUGUGUGUUAAAUUUUGUCAAAGACUUUUUCUGCACUGGUUGACAUGAUUAUAUGAUUUUUCUCCAUUAGUCUAUUAAUAUGGUAGAUUACGUUGACUAAUUUUCAAAUAUUGAUCCAGCUUUGCAUCCUUGGUAUAAACCAAAACUUGGUCAUGGUGGAUAAUUCUCUUUAUCUAUUGCUUAAUAUAUUUACCAAUAUCUUGUUAUGGGCUUGUGUGUUAUAUUCAUGAGGGAUACUGGUCACUAGCUUUCUUUCUUGUUUUUGUCUGGUUUUGGUAUCAAUGUAAUACUGGCUUCAUGAGAUGACUGAGAAGUAUUGCCUCCUCCUCUAUUUUUUGGAAAAGAUUGUGUAGAAUUGGUGCUAAUUUUUUAAAUGUUUGGUAGAAUUCUUUAGAAAAACCAUCUGGGCCUGAAUGUUUCUUUAUUGAAAUUAUGAAUUCAAUGUAUUUAAUAGCUAUAGGGCUAUUCAAUGAUCUACUUCCUGUUGGGUGAGUUGUGGUAGUUUGUGCUUUUUAAGAAAGUAGUCCAAUUUGUCUAAGUUAUCAAAUUAAUGUGUAUACAGUUGUUUGCAGUUUUUUCCCUUAUUAUCCUUUUGAUAUCUGCAGAGUCUGUAGUGAUACCUCUGGGGAGUCUUGCUCUUUCACCCAGGUGGGAGUGCAGUAGCACAAUCUCGGCCCACUGCAACCUCCGCUUCCCAGGUUCAGGCAAUUCUCCUGUGCCUCAUGAGUAGCUGGGACUACAGGUGCAUGCCACCACGCCUGGCUAAUUUUUGUAUUUUUAGUAGAGACGGGGUUUCACCAUAUUGGUCAGGCUGGUCUCGAACUCCUGGCCUCAGGUGAUCCACCCACCUUGGCCUCCCAAAGUGCUGAGAUUACAGGCAUGAGUGACCAUGCCCAGCCACUUUUCUGUGUUUUAUUUCAUUGAUUUCAGUUAUUUCCUUCCUUCUGCUUUUCUUUGGGUUUAUUUUGCUCUUCAUUUUCUAGAGAGGUAGACAAGAAGUUCUUGAGGUAGAAGCUGAGAUUGAUUUGAGACUUUUCCUAUUUUCUAUUGCAUGCAUUUUAGUGCUAAAAAUUCCCCUCUCAGUACUGCUUUAGAUGUGUUCCAUAAAUUUUGAUAUGCUGUAUUUUCAUUUUCUUUGUUACAAAGUGGCAAAAAACUUGACUGAAUUGUGUCCAUGUCCUAGGACUUUGUGGAAGGCAGAGCUUAAGAGUGAUGAACUAAGAUAAUUUGGCAGAAGAAAUCUCUAAGCAGCAAAGUAUUCAGAAUAGUUUUCCUUAACUGCUUAUGGUAAAAUUUGAGAACAGAAAAUUAUUUAAGGACAAAAUUUAUAAUUAAAAGGGAAGCAGAAUAUAAAGAUUUAAAAAUUCUCAGCUUGGCCAUGUAAAGAACAACAAAGAGUAUUUAGGGAAGAAAACCAACAGUGUGGCCUACUUUCAUAAGAUUAGUAUGGAUUGAAGGAAGCCUGGUGUUAUUCAUAAAGAUUAUGGACUAACGGCCCCAAGGGCAUUUCGGAGAUCUUCAGGGUUGCCAUGCCCAUCACAGCACAGAAUAGUUUAGGGAGAGAAGCCCAGGACACCCAUGCAACCUCACUGCCCACAGCCAUCUGAGGUCUCUAUUCUCCACAUUCUGGCACAGCACUCCUUGGUCACACAGCUAUGGCUCAGGUGUCCAGAGGAUGCAAGCAGUCAUCCUUGGCAGAGUCCACGUGGUGCUAAUUCUGCAGGCACACAGAGUGCAAGAGCUGUGGGGGCAUGGCUUUCUCCUCCACCCAGACUUCAAAGUAUGCUGUGGAUAGCCUGGGUGCCCAGGCAGAGACUUGUUGUAGGGACAGAGCCACCACAGAGAGUCUCCACCAGGGCAAUGCCUAGUGUAGCUGCGGAGGUAGGGCCACCCCUGAGACUCCAGACCUACUGAGCCACCAGUGUGUAGCCCCAGCCUGGGAGAACUGCUGAGGUGAACUGAGCCCAGCAACCCCUGGGGGCAGGGCUGCCUGAGACCUGGGGUGCCCAACCCCACCCCAGGGUGUCCAGAAGGUGGGGCAUGGAGUCGAAGAUGAUUCUGCAGCCUUAAGAUUUAAUGUUGUUUGCCUUGUUGAGUUUUGGACUUACUUGGGGCCCGUUACUCCCUCUUGCCUAUUUUUCCUUUUGGAAGGGAAAUGUCUGUCCUAUGCCUGUCCCACCAUUGUACUGUGGAAGCACAGAACUUGUGCGAUUUCACAGGCCCACGGUUGGAGAGGAACUUGCAUCAGAUGAAUCGUUCCUUGAGUCUCAGUCACACCUUAUUUAGAGGAGACUCUGGAAUUUAGAUUUUUGAGUUGGUGUUGGAAUGAGCUAAGACUUUUGGGGUAUUGAGAUGGAAUAAAUGUAUUUUGCAUGUGAAAAGAACAUGCAUUUUGGGGAGCUGGGGGUGGAAUGCUAUGGUUUGUAUGUGUCCCCUCAAAAAUCACACGUUGAAACCUAAUAGCCAAUGCUGUGAACAGGCGGGGUCUUUGGUAGGUGGUUAGGACAAGGGCUCCUCCCUAACAGAGGCUUCACUGGCCCUCCUGCCUUUCACCCUGUGAUGCUGGCUCCUUGAUCUUGGACUUCCCAGCCUUGGGAACCAUGAGGAAAUAAAUUUCUGGUUUUAAUAAAUUACCCAGUCUGUGAUGUUUUGUUAUAGGAGCACAAACACACCACAGUAGACAAGCCCUGCGUUUAGGACGCACGAGACCAAAAGAAACCCUGGGAACUCACCCUGCCACUGCUCCCUGGGUCCUCAGGCCCGUGACUAUUCUGCCUCCUCCUCCCCCCCUCAGAGUUGUCCUGUGUGUGCUUCCUACAUUGAGUCCAGGGUUCUUUGUUUUACUCUUGGGAAGAGCAAGAAAAAGUAUGUCUGUUCCACCUUCCUGGGAUGAAGUCUUUUGUGGGUUAGUUUCUAAAGUAAAGCCACGGGAUACGCAUCCUCACAGUGCCUCUUCUGACUACGAGUCCUAAAUACACCCUUUAUUCAGGUUCUGUAUCUGAAUUCAUUCAAAAGGAAGUCCUAAGACAACAAGGAGUGUUAGGUGUCAGUUUCACCACCUAAGAGGAAAACAAUGACCUUGAGGAAACCUCAUCUGUGACACCCAUUUUCAUCACAGCAAAAUCUCAAGGGGGCUGGAUCAGCAGACACAGAACUCUAAGUCCCUCUGAGCCCUCUGGAAUACAACCCUGACUUGUCUUUGUAGUUCCCACUUCCAGCCCAUUUGUACAAUGUUUAAUUUCCUAUAGUAAGGCAUGUACUUCAAUAUAGGUUUUAAAAAUUAAACAAAGCAAUACGUUUACCACAAGGUAUCUAGCUACUGAUUAUCUCAUGUGGGUCACAACCACAUGUGUUUUAUUUAUUUAGGGAUUAAAGUUACUAUAGUUUUUUUUUUUUUAUCAGAAAGGGAGAAACAUUAUCUUUAGUCAUAUGUAUUUCUUGGAGGAUCUUGGAUAGUUUUAGUCAGAAUACUUUGGCAGGGUGGCAAAAUGAUGCUUCCUACAUAAAUUUUGACAUUUCAAAUAAAAAGAUGAUAAAGUGAAAAGUGAUUUAAAAAUUUUAGCAUGAGUUAUCAAAAGCUCUAGAAUUUCAACAAAUACAAAUGGAAGAGAGUUUAAAAUUUCAAAGACAAAUAUUCUCAAAACAUGAUACCCCAGAAGAGCCCGGGCUGGCGUGCUGAUGAGCUCAGGUUUCCGGUCUGAACACGCAGCAGCUCCUCACCUGUCUGAAGCCACAUGGAAGCCACAGGGACAGUCCCAAAGAGAAUAAGAAAAUUAGAAGAAUAAAGUACACGGCACAAACCCAUCUCUCCAUGGGCCCCUCCUCAUCAAUUCACCAUCUACAUGUUACUUUUGUACAUCUAUGAUGAAUGUCAGUGCCAACCCAAUUAUUGCUUUUGACAACCACACUUACUGAAGGUACAGACUGUGCCAGGCACACUUUAUCAUUCUCCCACUAGACAGAACCGCCAUGAUGCAAGAUGCCAUCCCAUUUCGCAGACCAGGGCAUGAGGCCAUGUGAGCAUCCAGGCUUGUCUCCCACUCACUGUGUCUUCCUGCUCAGCAGGGCAGGAACUGCUGCUCAAGGUCAAAAAGGCAUCCCAGAAGAAUGGUGCCAUCACUGCAAAGCAGUGACUACUUUAAACAAAUCUCAUAAAAAAAGAUCCCAAAGAUAGUGAAUCAAAAUCAUUUCUUUAUAUAAUAAGCACUUUAAAAAACAUUAAUAGACUUUAUAUUUUAGAGCAGUUUUGGGUUUUACAGAAAAAUUGGGCAGAAAGUACAGGGAGUCCUCGUAUACUCCCCCUCUGCCCCACUUCCUUCCACAGUUAUUAUAACUUCUUGCAUUGGUGGCCCAUACAUUACAAUUUGAUACAUCAUUACUAACUAAAGCAUAUCGUUUACUUGAGGGUUCAUGCUUCCUGUUAUGCAGUUUUAGGUCUUGAGAAGUGCAUAAUGUCAUGGAUCAUGCAGAAUAGUUGCACUGCCCUAAAACUCCCCUGUGUGAUAAACACUUUUUAAAAUCAAAAAGGCAAUGGAACAUUCUGUAUGACACUGCAAUGGUAGAUAUGUAUAUAGAGCACCAAGACUGAGCCUAAACAGCAGCUCCAGGCAGGACCCCACUCCCUUCAGGGCCCACCCUGCACCAUCUUCCUCAAAUGUUUUAUACAAAAAAAAAAAAAAAAUAGUGGUGCCUAAUUGGCAUUGCAUCGAUUUUCUUAAGAGCCAGGACUAACACAAAGUGAUUUCAAAGCUUCCAUUAGGACACCAUGAACACUGGGCCCACGGUGGUGGCAUCAGGCAGACCUUGCUCCCUUCUGCACAGAGCUUGCAGAGAAAGCCCAGGCAAGUAGGGUGGAGGGCCUUCCCUAAGAGGCUGGCUCUUUCAGAAGUUCAGGUUUGGCCGGGCGCGGUGGCUCACGCCUGUAAUCCCAGCACUUUGGGAGGCCGAGGCGGGCGGAUCACGAGGUCAGGAGAUCGAGACCAUCCUGGCUAACACAGUGAAACCCCAUCUCUACUAAAAAUACAAAAAAUUAGCCGUGAGCCGAGGUUGCGCCACUGCACUCCAGCCUGGGCGACAGAGCGAGACUCCGUCUCAAAAAAAAAAAAAAAAAAAAGUUCAGGUUUAGCGGGACAGGACUGACAGAUUGACAGCUCUUCUGCGGCUUAGCACUGGUGGUGCAUAGCAUUCCUGGAACGCAUACUAGGAACGCGACCCUUGAGCAGGCGGCAUCCCCCAACUCCACAGAGAGACCCAGGUGUUCACCCAGGCCAGAUGGAGCAGUAACAACGUCUGUGCUGCCCCGAGACACCAGAGCACACAUACGCUGUAGGGAUUGGCCCAGUCUGCGAACCCCACUCAUGACGGGGCCAGAGCAAUGGAUUCCCAGUAAAUGAGGGUCAUGAGCUUGCUCUUCACCCGGGACCCUCCCUUCAUGGCCCGGGACCCUCCCCUCACAGCCCAGGACCCUCCUCUCACGGCCCGGGACUCUCCCCUCACAGCCCAGGAGCCUCCCUUCAUAGUCCAGGACCCUCCCUUCACGGCCUAGGAUCUUCCCCUCCCCUCACGGCCCGGGACCCUUCCCUCAUGGUCCGGAACCCUUCCCUCAGCCAAGACGCUCCCCCCACAGCCAGGGACCCUCCCCUCACGGCCUAGGAUCCUCCCCUCCCCUCAAGGCCCGGGACCCUCCCCUCACCCGGGACCCUCCCCUCACGGCCCGGGACCCUCUCUGCGCCCCUGGCCCGCAGGGCUCAGCUCCUCAAUGCUGGUCUGAGAGGCCCGAGAGCGUCUCCCUCUCAGUUCUCAGUUCUCGGGGCCGCGCUGUCCCCGCUGCCACCGAGAUCCCCUCACCCCGCCUACUACGCCUCCCGCCAGGUCCUUCCGGUCCGCCUGAAGUCUGUGGAGGCUUCCAGAAAAUGCUCCCAGAUCUCCGCCGGCCCGAGCCGAGCCACCGCAGGCUGCUCGGGCUCCCGGCGGUGUGGUCCCUCCAGGAGGGAACUGCGAGCGCUCCCGCCUUCCCCGUCUGUCCCCGGGUAAGGGACUGGCCGGCAGGUCCCGCCCCCCGCGCCUCCUCUGCGCCUGGGCGCCUGCACGGGGCCUCCUCCUUGAAAGGCGCGGAGUCUCGGCUCUGGCUGCGGUGCUGCAGGCGCAGCCUCCCUGGAAGGCACCGCGCCGGGAAGAGCGGCCCGUCUCUCAAAGCCCGGGCCGCCGCGCCCCGGCCCCUGCAACCAAGGCGGCGCCUCUCCCGGGCGCCGGCGCCCUCCGUUGGGCGUUCACGCCUGCGGCGCGGAGCCGGGGACCGGGAGCUGGGAGCCGCCGCCCUCCCCGCGCCUGGGCUCUGCGGCCGGGGGCCCUAGAGCUCGACCGCGACCCCCCAACCACAGCCUCGGGAGUGGGGCGCACAGCGUCGGGACUCAGCACAGGCGCCGCGGGCACAGGCGUGGCCGCCCCACCUGUGCCAGUGGGAAACAUGGUGAGGACAGAAGUCCACUGAGGGCUGUCACCUGCGAUCCUUUAAGUCACACCUGCUGAGCCCUAGGCUGGAUGCUCCUCGCAGCUGUUUCUGACAGCCUUCACCUCAAAGUUUACCAGGUUUUUGCUAGAAAUCUCUCAGGCCUCUCUGAGCGCCUUCCUGGCUCUGCAUUUCCAUUUCUUCCAAAUGGCAUUCCAAAAUGUCCCCAUUAUCUUCACACACCAUAUCCUUUGGACACAUGUCAAUCCUAAAUACAGAAGGAAAAAUGGAACAGCAGCUCACGAGGGUGCUGUCCCACCUUUCCUGCCCAACAGCACCCUCUGCUGGCAUGUGGGGAUGGUGCGGAGAAGGACUUAGUAGGACAUGGCCACGCCUACCAGGUGGGUGGAGAGAAUGUUAAGUCACCCACAAUAGGGGAGCAGAACCACAUCAAGAGAUGUCCCUGCCUGCACCCGCUGCACAUUCCUGCAGGCAAAACUUGGUUACCUGCAUCUGAACUCAUUCACUUCGUUUUACACGUAACUAGACAGAGUUUUUUUACUAAUUUAAAACUAGACUAGAUUUUCUUAGAAUAAAUUAUUGUGUAAAUCAGACAGGUGGACUGUAGGGUCCAGCCCCACAGGGUCAGUGGGUUUUCUCCCCGUGUGUGGAGACGAGAGAGUGUAGAAAUAAAGACACAAGACAAAGAGAUAAAAGAAAAGACAGCUGGGCCUGGGGGACCACUACCACCAAGACACGGAGACUGGUAGUGGCCCCGAAUGCCAGGCUGCACUGAUAUUUAUUGGAUACAAGACAAAGGGACAGGGUAAGGAGUGUGAGCCAUCUCCAAUGAUAGGUAAGGUCAUGUGGGUCACAUGUCUACCAGACAGGGGGCCCUUCCCUGCCUGGCAGCCGAGGCAGAGAGAGGAGAGAGAGAGACAGCUUACGCCAUUAUUUCUGCUUAUCAGAGACUUUUAGUACUUUCACUAAUUUGCUACUGCUAUCUAAAAGGGAAAGCCAGGUGUACAGGAUGGAACAUGAAGCGUGACCACUGAAGCACAGCAUCACAGGGAGACGGUUAGGCCUCCAGAUAACUGCGGGUGGGCCUGACAGACCCUCCACAAGAGGUGGAGGAGUAGAGUCUUCUCUAAAAUCCCCCCAGGGAAAAGGAGACUCCCUUUCCCGGUCUGCUAAGUAGUGGGUGUUUUUCCUUGACACUGACGCUACCGCUAGACCAUGGUCCGCUUGGCAACGGGCGUCUUCCCAGAUGCUGGCGUUACCGCUAGACCAAAGAGCCCUCUGGUGGCCCUGUCUGUGCAUAAUAGAAGGCUCGCACUCUUGUCUUCUGAUCACUUCUCACUAUGUCCCCUCAGUUCCUAUCUCUGUAUGGCCUGGUUUUUCCUAGGUUAUGAUUGUAGAGCAAGGAUUAUUAUAAUAUUGGAAUAAAGAGUAAUUGCUACAAACUAAUGAUUGAUAUUCAUAUAUAAUCACAUCUAAGAUCGAUAUCUAGUAUAACUAUUCUUAUUUUAUAUAUUUUAUUAUACUGGAACAGCUCGUGCCCUUGGUCUCUUGCCUCGGCACCUGGGUGGCUUGCCGCCCACAGUGGACCAUGGUUUUAGGAACUUUAUCCAGAGGUUUUGCAAUUUCAGAAAACUCCAUGACAACAUCAAGGCUGUUUGUGAACUCGAUCACCUGACAUCCACACCUGCGCCCGCCUACACCUGUGUUGACUCAGGAUGCUCCACACACAGUGUGCUCAAUACUAAUAGAUUUACAUUUUACUGUAAGUUAUUUUCCUUUUACACCUAAAGGAAAUGUACAAGGAAUUUUAUUUCAAAUAGAAAUUAUAUAAUAUAUUCAAAUAUAUAUAUUUUGAUAUAAUUUCUAUUUGAAUUAUAUAUAAUAUAUAAUAUGAAAUAUAUAUAUAUGGCUUAUGGGCUUCCAGAGUGCCACCACACACACCACACAGACCUGUACCCUGGGCUUUGUGAACAGGACACAUCCCAGGAACUAUGUUUCUAAAGCAAACCAAGAUAGCACCAAGAUAAAACAAGGUGGCAUUACGGGCUGAUGACCUGAAUUUUUGUAGGUUACAUUUUUAUGUGAUAAGCACGAUGGCCACUCUGACCCUGCGGAAAAGAUGGUAAAAAUAUGCUCCCUAUGGUGGUGCCAGAUGCAGCGGGGCUGCUAGGUGGAUUUCACAUCCAGAGCCCAUGUGUCUGAUUCACUCACUCUGGGCUUCAUGCUCCCAGGCAGUCCUCUUCCAGGACUGUACAAGGAGGAGGGUGGGCUCAGCGAUCAUGACCCCAGAGCAAAGAAAGGUGCUGGCUGCCUUCUAAAUCACAUGCCACCCAAAUGCUGGGGUCUGCGUAGGUAGCUAAGUAACUACAGAGCAAGCCCAUGAAGAUGUGAUUUUUUUUUAAGUGCUCAUGAAAUGAACCAUUGAUAUUUGGCAUACAUAUACAAAUAUGUGCACAGUGAAUACAUUAUGCCAUUUUUGUAGCUAUAUUUAUGUUUAUAAUAAUACACAUAAAGCUAUACAGAAGAUUGACUGCAAAACAAUAUAUUCUAACUGCAAAAACUGAUUGAAAUGUACACGUACAUUUACGAAAAGAUUCAUAUUCAAGUGUUGGCACACGAGGUUUCAAAGUCAAAAUGGAAGUUGUCUAUUUUGCCGUGUCCCUGAAACCCACUGAGAGGUGACCCACAUAGGCAGCGGGUAGGGAGCUGGGCCAGGCGGUACACAGCCGGCAGCGCCUCAGGGCCUUCCCCGCCCCACCCGACCACGGGAAGUGACUGCCCACAAGGCCAUCUGGCUUGCCUGGCGCCCCCGGAAUUCUGCAUUCAGUUCCAUUCAAAGCCUGGGCACCUUCCCCGUGCUGGCACUGGAGAUGCAUUCAUGAAACUCCCUGUCUCCAGACAGAUGAGACAGUGAAAUGAACAACUAGAGUUUCUGGCGGUGUCCAAAUAAACCAGUUACAAAUUACUUAUCAUAAAACACAGAUUUACAUGAAAAAGUAUCAAGAUGUUUUUAAGGACAAAAUAUUUAUUAUGAAAACAAUGAGAAAUGAAAUUCUUGCGUAAGGAAACUGACGCACCUCAACAUUAUAGAGGGACCGACUUAAUGAUAUGGAUGCCCCCACCCCCCGUUGUAUAAAAACUUGAUAAACUGCCCUGAAGAAGGCCUCUGACCCAAUCACCACCCCCAGCUGCAAGCAUCCCCUGUAAGCCCGCUCUGCACCUGCCUAGAACUUUUUUUUUUUUUUGAGAUGGAGUCUCACUAUGUCUUCCAGGCUGGAAUGCAGUGGCACCAUCUCAGCUCACUGCAACCUCUACCUCCUCAGUUCAAGUGAUCUCCUGCCUCAGCCUCCCACGUAGCUGGGAUUACAGGCAUGCCAACAUGCCCAGCUAAUUUUUUGCAUAGAGAUGAGGUUUCAUCAUGUUGGCCCGGCUGGUCUCGAACUCCUGACCUCUGGUGAUCUUCCCACCUCAGCCUCCCAAAGUGCUGGGAUUACAGGCGUGAGCCACUGCAUCCGGCUUGCCUAGCACUUUUGAUACUAAGAAGAGUGUCUCUCCCUCUGCUGCACACCCAUAGGACGCUUUCCAUUUAACCCAAAGUGUCCAGGUACAGAGUUAGCAUCAGUGGAUCUUCAGGUGACUGACAGCCAGGCAGACAUGGGGUCCACACAUCCAGCAAUACAAGACAUCCCUGGAGAGUAUGUUUGUGGUUGGAUUUUUAUUUCUCUUAUUAGAGACCAGAGGUUGAUAACCAAGAGACAACUUUGUCCCCUGGUGUGGGAGCAGUGGGGGCAUGCACUGGGCAAUUUCUGGAGACAAUUUUGGUGUUGCCACUGAGGAAAAGUCCUGGCAUGGAGUGGGUAGGGUCCAGGGAUGCUGCUGAGACCUCACACUGCACAGGUUGGGGACCCAAAACCAAGAGCCACCCAGCCCCAGAUGUCCACGACGUGGAGGCUGAGAAACCUGCCGGAGGCCCUCAGAUGCCAAGGAGACCUUUUGACCUUCCUUUGCUCAGACUAUAAAACAAAAUUCUUUAUGUGUCGUUCUGUGAAGUGUCACAGAUGAAAGUGAACCAUCAGUUGUAUCUGGAAAUUGAAACCCAAACGUGACAUUUUUCUUUCUUCUGUGUGAAUAAUUUUCCUUUCUUAAAAAGCUACACUGCUUAUAUUUCAUGUUAUUUACAUAUUCAUAGCUCUUCCUGUCCUCGUGCAAGAGGGACUUGGGGCAGCUGUCACACAGCCCUGAGAACUCAGCCCACAUGUCUGGUUCACUCCAAAGCUGGAAGAACCUGCCUGGCCCCCGCGUGGCAAGGCAGGAGGUCUCUGCCUCCAACCCAAGACCUCCCACCCCCUGCGCUGGCCCUGUUGCCCUCCAAGUUGCCCCAGCUCUCCUGCCUGGCCACAGCGUCUGCCUCGGUGGUUGUGGGAGCUGGGUUAGUGAAUGUGUGCUCCCCAGAACCUUGCCCUGGUAGCGCCAAAACUUUGAUUGUUACACAGGCUACCCAAAAGGCAGGUCUUUUAUAUUAAAUAGUUGACAUGAGCAUGAUAAAACUGAGGCCAAAAAUGUGUUCAAUUUUCAAAUUGAUCAUUUUGGUUUAAAAAACAAAACAAAAGAAAAAGCGUCUUCUCUUAACACCCCAGUUUCAGGUCCCAAAUCUGCCGUCAAUGCUGCCGCAGUCAUAUUCCUGCAAUUCCUUCAUUUCACAAUGAAACAAAUUGUGAACAAAUGUGGACCCGAAAGAGCCCACCCGGAGUGCCCAACUGGGCCUAUGUUUAAAACAGCCCCAAGAGGCCACUUACUGACAAUAAGCCACAUGCCUUGAGCCCCCAGAACUCGCACCUCCAGUCAACUUCUGGACUUUCAGGGCUCACCUGAACCAACCACUCAGAGCUCACCUGAAUCAACCACUCAGAGCUCACCUGAACCAACCCAUCAGCGCUCACCUGAACCAACCCAUCAGCGCUCACCUGAACCAACCCCUCAGCGCUCACCUGAACCAACCCCUCAGCGCUCACCUGAACCAACCCCUCAGCGCUCACCUGAACCAACCCCUCAGCGCUCACCUGAACCAACCCCUCAGCGCUCACCUGAACCAACCCCUCAGCGCUCACCUGAACCAAUCAACCAAUCAAAGCUCACCUGAACCAGCCACUCAGCGCUUACCUGAACCAGCCCAUCAGGGCUCACCUGAACCAAUCCAUCAGCACUCACUUGAACCAACCAAUUAGCGCUCACCUGAACCAACCACUCAGAGAUCACCUGAAUAAACCAACCACUCAGAGAUCACCUGAAUGAACCAACCAAUCAGAGCUCACCUGAACCAGCACAUCAGAACUCACCUGAACCAACCAAUCACAGUUCACCUGAACCAACACCUCAGAGCUCACCUGAACCAACCACUCAGAGCACACCUGAACCAACUUAUCAGUGCUCACCUGAACCAACCCCUCAGAGCUCACCUGAACCAGCACAUCAGUGCUCACCUACCUUGGCUAAUCAGGGCUCAGCUGCAUCACCCAAUCAGGGCUUAGCUGUAUCAACCAAUCAGAACUAACCAAAUUUGAAUCCUUCAUGUGCAUAAAUUGACCUGAAUGGGACCUGGGCAGGACCCAUCACUAUAAAACCCAAACCCUCCCUGAGUUCUCUGGAAUAUACUUUCUUUCACACCAAAGGCUGCAGCUUCCAGGUUUGUAAACUGUUCACUGGAAUAAAGUCUCUUUCCUCCAAACUCCUUUUCAAAGAACUUUUGUUCAUAAAAUAAUUU
rnacentral:lncRNA from 1 species